UUCGGGCCUCUUGCCAUCAGAUGUCGCCCAGAGUGGGAUUAGCUAGUAGGUGGGUAACGGCUCACCUAGGCGACGAUCCCUAGCUGGUCUGAGAGGAUGACCAGCCACACUGGAACUGAGACACGGUCCAGACUCCUACGGGAGGCAGCAGGUGGGGAAUAUUGCACAAUGGGCGCAAGCCUGAUGCAGCCAUGCCGCGUGUAUGAAGAAGGCCUUCGGGUUGUAAAGUACUUUCAGCGGGGAGGAAGGGAGUAAAGUUAAUACCUUUGCUCAUUGACGUUACCCGCAGAAGAAGCACCGGCUAACUCCGUG
rnacentral:rRNA from 1 species